CUUUAUUUCUGAUAGGCAAAAAGGGUUGUUGGAAUCUGUUCCAAAGGUUUUACCUGGUGCAAGAGUUAGAUAUUGCUUCAGGCACUUGUACAAGAACUUCAAGAAGUACCACAAGGCACCAACCUUGCACAACUUAUUGUGGAAUGCAUGCAAAGCUUACAAAGUGAGGCAUUUUCAGGAGCACUUUGACAACAUAUGCAAAGAAAGUCCGGCUGCUGGUGAAUAUCUUAGGAAAGAAGAUCCAAGUACUUGGUCUAGGGCUUAU